AAUACUUGUUGAUUGGUUUCACACUAACCCUGCUCGUGGCCAAGUAGAGCCCUAACAGUGCAGGGCUGGGUAUAAGUCUAUGCAUUGGUUUGUCUUCAAUGGGCAAAGCUGUCUGAAGAGAAGCAUGUCCUUAAGUCCUGAGAGUAAAAUCAAGACCUAACUAUCUGUGAGACCUCACUGACGAUUUGCUACCAGAUAAAUGAGCAAUUUCACAGAUUCUUGCGGGAAAACUCAAAAGGACUAAUGAUUAACCACUUCCUUGAAAUCAAUAAAACACAUUAUUUCUUGUCUCGUU